rnacentral:rRNA from 1 species
AUGUGUUUCGAUGCUGAGCUCUUUCUGGAUAGGACAGAGGUACAAUACUUACAUCCAUGGCAGAAGGUUCUUAACCCUGAACUCAUCAAAGGUCCUUGGACUCAAGAGGAAGAUGACAAAAUUAUUGAUCUUGUAAGAAAGUAUGGACCAACAAAAUGGUCUCAUUUCAAGGACCUGCAAAAGGACCCUCCCACCUCAGUGCUGGUGAUUUCCCCUCUGCCCCGUUUGAUUCCGUCUAGAUCUUGCCCCGAAUUGUAUUGCGUCUGGAUGAGCGCGCCGUUGGCGUGGCCUGGUUGUCGAUUAUUUAGCUGUGCUCUCGCAGUGCUUUUAGGUUUGCUGGAUUGA